rnacentral:rRNA from 1 species
GAUGAACGCUAGCUACAGGCUUAACACAUGCAAGUCGAGGGGAAACGACAUCGAAAGCUUGCUUUUGAUGGGCGUCGACCGGCGCACGGGUGAGUAACGCGUAUCCAACCUGCCCACCACUUGGGGAUAACCUUGCGAAAGUAAGACUAAUACCCAAUGACGUCUCUAGAAGACAUCUGAAAGAGAUUAAAGAUUUAUCGGUGAUGGAUGGGGAUGCGUCUGAUUAGCUUGUUGGCGGGGUAACGGCCCACCAAGGCGACGAUCAGUAGGGGUUCUGGGAGGAAGGUCCCCCACAUUGGAACUGAGACACGGUCCAAACUCCUACGGGAGGCAGCAGUGAGGAAUAUUGGUCAAUGGACGAGAGUCUGAACCAGCCAAGUAGCGUGCAGGAUGACGGCCCUAUGGGUUGUAAACUGCUUUUAUAAGGGAAUAAAGUGAGUCUCGUGAGACUUUUUGCAUGUACCUUAUGAAUAAGAACCGGCUAAUUCCGUG